UUCCACUCACCAAGGCCUUUCCUUUCUCGGUAGUGAUUCGGGCGCUGCGAGAUGACGCCAACAUAUUCGUGCCACCUGGUUUCACCGCUCAGCUUAGUUCUUGGGUGGAAAGUGAAACAGCAAAUAAGAUAAUCAAUUGAGAUAAGGAUUGGGAAGGAGUUGUUGGAGGUUUGAGGAGAGAGAAGAUAUGGAAUAACCAUUUAGGAUGGCAUUCAACCAACUGUGGCCUGUAGGCCAAAUGUGGCUUGUCAUCUCUCUUGAAAAUAAAGUUUUGGGAACACAGGCGUGCCUCCUUGUUAAUAUAUUGUCUAUGGCUGCUCUUGCACUACAGUUUCAAAGGUGUUUUCCUGUUUUCCACCAAUUAAUUUAACCAUUGCACCAUUUCUGUGGAGUAGGAUUAGGAUUCUCCAUUUAUAGUUCUAAAAACUCGGCACUUAGAGGAAAAGAAGCCCGAGGGCCAGCAGAUGUAGAAGGAGGUAUAAUCAAGAAAGCAAACCAAGGCCUUGGAGAGAUGAAGGGGCUUCCUUAAGGUCAUACAAACCUUUCAGCCAAGUUGCCUAAGAACAACAGUUGAUGAGAACUGCACGUCUUCAAACACUGUCUACUGCAGGAUGGAAGCAGGAACCUCUGGGAAUAUCUGUGAGUCAUAAAAUGUUGUAAGGAACUUUCCAAAACGUUUUCUUGCUAGGAUGGAGAGUUCUAAUCUCAUAUUGGCAGGCUCUGUUGGCCACAAGGUACACUGUUUACUUUGAUUCCUAUUCAGCUGUCCUUCAUGACCUUGGUUUAUCAAGUUUUUGAUAUAUUAGAACAGAAGACUUGCAUACAAUGACAAGAUUGUAACCCCUUCUGUUCUUCUGGUCUCUUAAAAGAAAUACAAAUAAUGAUCCUAAUCUAUGCUUCCUCUGUGAGUAUGUUUAAUUCAGUUGUCUUUGAAGGAAGUAGUUUGGAUUACUCCCACAAUUUUGAAAGCUUAUAGUACUGGUAAUUGAAGACAUACGUUUUCUUUUAAUUAAAAAAACAUGUCAAAAAGCACUUCAUAAUUCUGUCAGAAAAGGGUAUUUCUAAGUGUGGUGUGUCUGAAUGCACUGGGGUCAUUUAAUCUAGUUUAAAUAUUAGUGCUUGAAUUUGGAGAAAUAUAGACAGAAAUGCAUAUCUGAU